rnacentral:rRNA from 1 species
GACGAACGCUGGCGGCGUGCUUAACACAUGCAAGUCGAACGAUGAAGCCGGAGCUUGCUCUGGUGAAUUAGUGGCGAACGGGUGAGUAACACGUGAGUAACCUGCCCUUGACUCUGGGAUAACUGCGGGAAACUGUAGCUAAUACCGGAUACGACCCUCGGAGGCAUCUCCUGGGGGUGGAAAGAAUUUCGGUCAGGGAUGGACUCGCGGCCUAUCAGCUAGUUGGUGAGGUAAGGCUCACCAAGGCGACGACGGGUAGCCGGCCUGAGAGGGGAAACGGGGACACGGGGACUGAGACAGCGUCCAGACUCCUACGGGAGGGAGCAGGUGGGAAUAUUGCACAAUGGGCGCAAGCCUGAUGCAGCAACGCCGCGUGAGGGAUGACGGCCUUCGGGUUGUAAACCUCUUUUAGCAGGGAAGAAGCGAAAGUGACGGUACCUGCAGAAAAAGCACCGGCUAACUACGUGCCAGCCGCCGCUGUAA